UUAAAGAAAGCGUAAUAGCUCACUAGUCGAGUCGGCCUGCGCGGAAGAUGUAACGGGGCUAAGCCAGUUACCGAAGCUGCGGAUGUGCAAUUUAUUGCACGUGGUAGGAGAGCGUUCUGUAGGCCUGUGAAGGUGUCUGGUAACGGAUGCUGGAGGUAUCAGAAGUGCGAAUGCUGACAUGAGUAACGUAAGGGGUGUGAGAGACACCCCCGCCGAAAGACCAAGGGUUCCUGCUUAAAGCUAAUCUGAGCAGGGUUAGCCGGCCCCUAAGACGAGGCAGAAAUGCGUAGUCGAUGGGAACCACGUUAAUAUUCGUGGGCUUGAGGGUAGUGACGGAUCACGUGUGUUGUCAGAUCUUAUUGGAUUGAUCUGGCUGCGAAGUGGUUCCAGGAAAUAGCUCCCUCUUAUAAACCGUACCCGAAACCGACACUGGUGGUCUGGUAGAGUAUACCAAGGCGCUUGAGAGAACUAUGCUGAAGGAACUCGGCAAAUUGCACGCGUAACUUCGGAAGAAGCGUGACCCCUAUGAACGCAAGUUUAUGGGGGUGGCACAGACCAGGGGGUAGCGACUGUUUACCAAAAACACAGCAGCGUGCGAAGCCGUAAGGCGCUGUAUACGCUGUGACGCCUGCCCAAUGCUGGAAGGUCACGGGGAACGGUUAGUCGAAAGGCGAAGCUGUGAACCUAAGCCCCAGUGAAUGGCGGCGGUAACUAUAACCGUCCUAAGGUAGCGAAAUUCCUUGUCGGGUAAGUUCCGACCUGCACGAAUGGUCUAAUGAGUUGAACACUGUCUCCUCCACGAGCCCGGUGAAAUUGUAGUAUCGGUGAAGAUGCCGGUUACCCGUCACGGGACGGAAAGACCCCAUGAACCUUCACUACAACUUUGCAUUGAUUUUGAGCACCAAGUGUGUAGGAUAGUUGGGAGACUAUGAAGCAGUGUCGCCAGGCAUUGUGGAGUCAUCGUUGAAAUACCAACCUCUUGUUGCUUAGAACCUAACCCCUACAGGGGGACAUUGCAUGGUGGGUAGUUUGACUGGGGUGGUCGCCUCCUAAAAAGUAACGGAGGCUCGCAAAGGUACCCUCAGUACGGUUGGUAAUCGUACGUAGAGCGCAUUAGUAUAAGGGUGCUUGACUGUGAGACAGACAAGUCGAUCAGGUGCGAAAGCAGGCUAAAGUGAUCCGGUGGUUCUGUAUGGAAGGGCCAUCGCUCAACGGAUAAAAGGUACGCCGGGGAUAACAGGCUGAUGACCCCCAAGAGUCCAUAUCGACGGGGUUGUUUGGCACCUCGAUGUCGACUCAUCGCAUCCUGGGGCUGGAGCAGGUCCCAAGGGUAUGGCUGUUCGCCAUUUAAAGAGGUACGUGAGCUGGGUUUAAAACGUCGUGAGACAGUUUGGUCCCUAUCUUCCGUGGGCGCUGCAAGAUUGAGAGAGCCUGCUCCUAGUACGAGAGGACCGGAGUGGACGCACCUCUGGUGUAUCGGUUGUCACGCCAGUGGCAUUGCCGAGUAGCUAAGUGCGGAAGAGAUAACCGCUGAAAGCAUCUAAGC
rnacentral:rRNA from 1 species